rnacentral:tRNA from 1 species
UCCCUGAUGGUUCAGUGGUUAGGAUUCCAUGAUUUCACUGUGGAGGGAGCAGGUUCAAUCCCUGGUCAGGGGA